rnacentral:rRNA from 1 species
AAUGAACGCUAGCGGUAGGCCUAACACAUGCAAGUUGAACGCAUACUUUUACAGUAUAAGUAGCAAACGGGUGAGUAACGCGUGAGAAAUCUACCUUACAAUCUGGGAUAAAAUCCCGGAUUCUUUCUAAACUAGAUGUUCCGACAAAUAGUAUAGAAUAAAAGAUUAAAUGUCGUUGUAAGAUGUGCUCGCGUAGGAUUAGGUAGUUGGUGAGGUAAAAGCUACACCAAGCCGAAGAUCCUUAGCUGGUCUGAGAGGAUGAUCAGCCACACUGGGACUGAGACACGGCCCAGACGCUUUCGAGCGGCAGCAGUGAGGAAUUUUGGACAAUGGGCGAAAGCCUGAUCCAGCCAUAUCGCAUGAGUGAAGAAGGCUCAAUUGGUUGUAAAGCUCUGAUUUGAGUGAAGAUUAUGACAGAAGACCAAAGAAUAGUCCCGGCUAACUUCGUG